rnacentral:rRNA from 1 species
AUGACUUGGGGCUAGGGGUGAAAGGCCAAUCAAAUUCCGUGAUAGCUGGUUCUCUCCGAAAUGCAUUUAGGUGCAGCGUCGGAUCGAUUACAUCCGGGGGGUAGAGCGACUGGAUGCUUGCGGGCCCAUAUCGGGUACCAACAGCAACCAAACUCCGAAUACCCGUGAUGCGUAUCCCGGCAGUGAGUCGGCGGGGGAUAAGCUCCGUCGUCGAAAGGGAAACAGCCCAGAUCGUCGUCUAAGGUCCCCAAGCGUGUGCUAAGUGGGAAAGGAUGUGGAGUCGCAUAGACAGCCAGGAGGUUGGCUCAGAAGCAGCCACCCUUGAAAGAGUGCGUAACAGCUCACUGGUCUAGUGGUUCCGCGCCGACAAUGUAGCGGGGCUCAAGCACACCACCGAAGACGCGGCAGUAGCUUUGCUACUGGGUAGGAGAGCGUCCCAUGCGGGGCGAAGCGGCGGCGCAAGCCCGCCGUGGACUGCAUGGGAGUGAGAAUGCAGACAUGAGUAGCGAAAGACGGGUGAAGAUCCCGUCCGCUGGACGACCAAGGGUUCCAGGGCCACGUUCAUCGUCCCUGGGUGAGUCGGGUCCUAAGGCGAGGCCGACAGGCGUAGUCGAAUGGAUGAACGGGUCGAUAUUCCCGUACCGGCAUGCAACCGACAAAACCGAAUCCGCGAGUACUAACCUCCGGGUCCGGGCUUACGUCUCCUUCGGGAGCCGGAUGCCCUGGCCUGUUGGGACCGUAACGGUAGUAGGUCAGCGCGGGAGUGACGCAGAAGGGUAGCCGGCCGCGGAGGUGGUCUUCCGUGGUCAAGCACGCAGCCCGUCCCACAGGCAAAUCCGUGGGGCGCGUGGGCGAGGUGCGAUGAUGGGCGCCGCAGGGCGCGAUAUCCGGUGAUCCCGGCUGCCGAGAAAAGCUUCGGCGUGAGGCGGCGUGCCGCCCGUACCCCAAACCGACACUGGUGGUCAGGUAGAGAAUACCAAAGCGAUCGAGCGAAUCCUGGUCAAGGAACUCGGCAAAUCACUCCCGUUCCUUCGGUUUAAGGGAGACCCCCGAUGGUGAAGCGGCUUGCCCGUGGAGCUUUUGGGGGUGGCACAGACCAGGGGGUAGCGACUGUUUACCAAAAACACAGGAGCGUGCGAAGGCGCAAGCCGCUGUAUACGCUCUGACGCCUGCCCGGUGCCGGAAGGUUAAGAGGAUCCGUCAGGCCUCGGCCGAAGCGGUGAAUUCAAGCCCCGGUAAACGGCGGUGGUAACUAUAACCAUCCUAAGGUAGCGAAAUUCCUUGUCGGGUAAGUUCCGACCUGCACGAAUGGCGUAACGACUUCCCCACUGUCUCGACCAGGAGCUCGGCGAAAUUGCAGUACGAGUAAAGAUGCUCGUUAAGCGCAGAAGGACGAAAAGACCCCGGGACCUUUACUAUACCUUGGUAUUGGCAUUCGGUGUGGAUUGUGUAGCAUAGGCGGAAGGCUUCGAAGCCACGGCGCCAGCCGCGGUGGAGCCGCAAGGUGAAAUACCGCUCUGUUCGCAUUGGAUGUCUAACCUCGACCAGUCAUCCUGGUCAGGGACAGUGCCUGGCGGGUAGUUUAACUGGGGCGGUUGCCUCCCAAAGAGUAACGGAGGCGCUCAAAGGUUCCCUCAGCCCGGUUGGCAAUCGGGUGGCGAGUGUAAGUGCACAAGGGAGCUUGACUGCGAGACUGACGGGUCGAGCAGGGACGAAAGUCGGAACUAGUGAUCCGGUGCCGGUGUACGGACGCGGCAUCGCUCAACGGAUAAAAGGUACCCCGGGGAUAACAGGCUGAUCAUUCCCAAGAGU